AUUAACCUCACAGCUCUCAGUGCCCAGGAUUCCUGCCUGUACCCAGUGCUCUCCGAUGCGGGGCUGCUACCUGUGCCACCUACCUGCGCUGUGACUUGGCUUCCCAUCCUACAGAAGGGGAGCCUUCUCAGUUUCUCGGGUGCAAAACCCAAGCUUUGGACAACGGCAGAAGCAGUCAAUUAUGUUCUCACUCUGUCUGCUUUGGAAGUCCUGGAGUGUGCUGGUGUGACCACAGCCGUAGGAGCGGGGCGGUUCGGGAUAAAUCAGAAACAAAAGGGCCAUUAUCCAUAUGGGACCCCAUGAGCGCACCGCAUACCCCAGCAAUCCCGAGCGCUCUGCGUACGGUUCUCGCUUGGUUUUAACUCAAUUUCUUUGAGAUGCAAAUUAGAGGGAUUAUAUUCAGAGGCUACAUCAGAAAGUCUUUAAUCCAAAUGGGCUAUAAGAUUUAUUUGGAAGAGCCAAAUGUCUUGUCUGGGACAGAAGCAACCGAGCUGAACUGAAACAGAUGGACAUAAAGGAAAUUAAGCAACUCUAAUGGUCUUAUCCAGAGUUUCAAAGUAUUUGGUCUUCGGAAAGCUCCAGCUCCUGGAAGCACGUGAUGAGACGGGGAGCUCAAGUUUCAUUUCAAAACAGGCUUUGCAGUUCACUGAGAAAGACAAUAAUAAUGUUUUUAUUCCUCCUGUGUACGGAGGGAAGGCUGCCUUCCAAACCCCGGCUCCUCAGCUCAGCUCAUGACGUCAGAUGGAAGCGUAUUGCACAACGUUUGCAUUCCUCGUCUUCAUCACAGUGUGGUUAUUUCUGUGGGCUGGAUUUGGGAUUUUGGAAGGCUGAUGGUUCUUGGGGUGCCGGGAGGUGGUCCUCCUCAUCUCUGCAAGGGGAAAGCAUCUGCAGCCUGAGCAGUGAGCAGCAGCAGCCCUCCUGCUUGCAGCUGCACCAUGCCCUGCUUGGCUCAGUGCUGAGUACCCGGAGCAGAGGAGCUUCACGUGUCUGCACGUUUGCCAUCCUUCACCCCAGUGCUUUUGGAUUCGGAUUAAAUAAAAGCCAUCCACCCAAGCCAUAGAGCUGUCAGCGUGGGGAAUGACCUUCACCUCCUCGCUCACCUCCAGGAGAUGCUGUGUCCGCUCGGCCGGCUGCGUGGUUGGCUGCAGCAGCACUGCCUGCUGCCCGGAGCCAGGCAACUGGGAGCUGAAGAGCAACAACAGGAGCCUCUGCAGCCCACGUGCCAGCAGCAGAUCUGUUUUCUGACUGACCCAACAGCAGGGCCCUUCUUGGGACUGGCUAAACGUGGUUACUGAUGCCUACUAAGUAGCUCCUUCCAUGUGCUUAGGUGAAUAAAUUACCCUACAGCUUCC
rnacentral:lncRNA from 7 species